rnacentral:rRNA from 1 species
GAUGAACGCUGGCGGCGUGCCUAAUACAUGCAAGUCGAGCGAACAGACGAGGAGCUUGCUCCUUUGACGUUAGCGGCGGACGGGUGAGUAACACGUAGGUAACCUACCUAUAAGACUGGGAUAACUUCGGGAAACCGGAGCUAAUACCGGAUAAUAUUUCGAACCGCAUGGUUCGAUAGUGAAAGAUGGCUUUGCUAUCACUUAUAGAUGGACCUGCGCCGUAUUAGCUAGUUGGUAAGGUAACGGCUUACCAAGGCAACGAUACGUAGCCGACCUGAGAGGGUGAUCGGCCACACUGGAACUGAGACACGGUCCAGACUCCUACGGGAGGCAGCAGUAGGGAAUCUUCCGCAAUGGGCGAAAGCCUGACGGAGCAACGCCGCGUGAGUGAUGAAGGUCUUCGGAUCGUAAAACUCUGUUAUUAGGGAAGAACAAACGUGUAAGUAACUGUGCACGUCUUGGCGGUACCUAAUCAGAAAGCCACGGCUAACUACGUG